rnacentral:misc_RNA from 1 species
GGUGUGAUCAUAUCCAAUAACGCCGGAAGGGCUUUUAUAAUUAUGAUAAAUUUGAUCACGCCCAACGUAUAUGGUCACGUCAUGUCAUUCAAAAACUGAUUCCCUAUUACAUGUACUUAUAUUUAUAUAAUUUUCAGGUAUUGUUCAAAUAUUAAAUAAUUGACAUAUUUAUGGUAAUUUUAUUUCGUAUUAUUAUGCAAAUCAGGCGUGCGCUUCAGAACUCUUGGACUAUACGUUACAGAAUCGAUUAGCAGUGUUAUCGCUAAGACUAAGAUGCUGAAAAAUGUAAAUACUCCAAAAGAAAAGAUUAUAAAUAUUUACAAACCACACAUUGGAUAUUUUGCUGUAAAGGUUUAUUUUUAAUCUGUGUUGUAAUUUUCACCCAAUCACACUAACAAUGUUUCUAAAGGACAAGAAACAUGAAUGUAUAUCAAUUUUGAUUAAAUAAUAAAAUUU